rnacentral:rRNA from 1 species
GCAUAUCAAUAAGCGGAGGAAAAGAAAUUAACUAAGAUUGCCUCAGUAACGGCGAGUGAAGCGGCAAGAGCCCAAAAUGUAAAUCUUCACACUGCGUGUGACGAAUUGUAAUCUAAAGAUGGUUCGCUCAACGGGUGGUGGCGCAGAAGUGCCUUAGAACGGGCCGCCAGAGAGGGUGACAGCCCCGUAUGUGGUGCCACUGCCUAACGAGCGGGUUAUCGAAGAGUCGGGUUGUUUUGUAUUGCAGCCCUAAGUGGGAGAUAAACUUCUUCUAAGGCUAAAUAUAUAUGGGAAACCGAUAGCGAACAAGUACUGUGAAGGAAAGAUGAAAAGAACUUUGAAAAGAGAGUUAAAUAGUACGUGAAAUUGUUGAAAGGGAAACGAUUGAAGUCAGUCGUACCGAUGGGCAUUCAACUCCUUGAGCGCGAUCAUGUUGGGUGUUGGGGAGCUUAACCGCCCUCGCGUCUGCGUGUUUGUGCUCUUCGGGUGUACUUGUCCGUAUGGUAGGUUAACAUCAAUUUUGGUCAUCAUAAAAUGACGGGGGGAAUGUAGCUUCGAUCUCGUAUUGAAGUGUUAUAGCCUCUGGUAGAUGUGAUGAUCGGGAUUGAGGAUUGCAACGAACCCUUCGGGGUCACCUGUCUGGCCUCUGGUGGUCGCUCUGGUGCCGAAAGCUUGCUUACGGUCAUCAAAGUUUGGUUGCCAAAAGGUUAGAACGGGUUGAAUUCGUUAAGGAUGUUGACGUA